AUUGAACGCUGGCGGAAUGCUUUACACAUGCAAGUCGAACGGCAGCACGGGGGCAGCCCUGGUGGCGAGUGGCGAACGGGUGAGUAAUACAUCGGAACGUGCCCGGUCGUGGGGGAUAACGUAGCGAAAGUUACGCUAAUACCGCAUACGAUCUGAGGAUGAAAGCGGGGGACCUUCGGGCCUCGCGCGAUCGGAGCGGCCGAUGUCAGAUUAGGUAGUUGGUGGGGUAAAGGCCUACCAAGCCGACGAUCUGUAGCUGGUCUGAGAGGACGACCAGCCACACUGGGACUGAGACACGGCCCAGACUCCUACGGGAGGCAGCAGUGGGAAUUUUGGACAAUGGGCGCAAGCCUGAUCCAGCCAUUCCGCGUGCAGGACGAAGGCCUUCGGGUUGUAAACUGCUUUUGUACGGAACGAAAAGGCUCUGGCUAAUACCUGGGGCUCAUGACGGUACCGUAAGAAUAAGCACCGGCUAACUACGU
rnacentral:rRNA from 1 species